rnacentral:rRNA from 1 species
GACGAACGCUGGCGGCGUGCUUAACACAUGCAAGUCGAACGGAAAGGCCCUGCUUUUGUGGGGUGCUCGAGUGGCGAACGGGUGAGUAACACGUGAGUAACCUGCCCUUGACUUUGGGAUAACUUCAGGAAACUGGGGCUAAUACCGGAUAGGAGCUCCUGCUGCAUGGUGGGGGUUGGAAAGUUUCGGCGGUUGGGGAUGGACUCGCGGCUUAUCAGCUUGUUGGUGGGGUGGUGGCUUACCAAGGCUUUGAUGGGUAGCCGGCCUGAGAGGGUGACCGGCCACAUUGGGACUGAGAUACGGCCCAGACUCCUACGGGAGGCAGCAGUGGGGAAUAUUGCACAAUGGGCGGAAGCCUGAUGCAGCAACUCCGCGUGCGGGAUGACGGCCUUCGGGUUGUAAACCGCUUUCGCCUGUGACGAAGCGUGAGUGACGGUAAUGGGUAAAGAAGCACCGGCUAACUACGUG